AUUGUGACCUGAGCCGAAACCAAGAGUCGGGUGCUCAACUGACUGAGCCAUGUAGGUGCCCCAUUUGUACUUUUUCUUUAAAUCCAAAUUGAUUCUAAUAUGUUAGGAGACAGCCCAAGAGGAAAUCCUUUGGGAUUGAGGAAGUCGAUCCCAUAGGUAAAUCCUACAAAAUGAGGACAGUGUAUUAACUAACUACGAGUCCAUUACCAAAAUUCCCCUUGGCUUCCAAGUGGCAUCCCAUCAGGAAUUUUGCCGUAGGUUCCUGGGGUGCUGAAUGGCAGGAGUUGACCUUCUUCUUGAUUGUUCUGACACCCUUGUACUACUUGAGAAGGGAUGUUGACCUCCCUUUACUUCCCCCACUGCAUCCUAGGCUACAGUAGGUGCUGGUAGAUGGACUGAAAUGCUGCAAAUAUUGAGGCUGCCUCUUUCAAUUUUGAGGGAGUUGAUAUAUUUGAUGACCAAUAACAAUAGGUGUUGUAAGCCUAGCCUGUAGAUGUAGUAUUAAUGGAUGGGAUCCUGGCCUUUGUUGAGAAGGGGCAGCUAUUUUAUACUGUAUUAAACAUCCUAUGACUAAGCUAGAAGUACCUCGAAUCUGAGAGCAGGACUGAGAAUGCCAAACAGCCCACAGGUAGGAACAAAUGGGAGACAUGAAAAAAUGUAAGUAUAGAUCUCCUAUUUAAUCCAGGUGACUUUUUCAUGAGCUUUAUCCAUGAUCCAAUCCCAAGAGAGUAGUCUCCCAUUGGGUGAAUGCCCCAACUAGGUAAUAGCUCCAACCACUCCCUUCCCACAAGCAUGCGGUCAGAUGUAUCUUGAAUUUUGUACUCAUCGAGGGAUGACACCAGAUUAUUUAGGAGGGAACCUUACACAGAACUCUUAAAAUUCACAGCCAUCCUAAUGACCUGUAUGGCUGUCCAGUGAUAGGAAUAUAAGGAUUCAAAGAACAGAUAAAAGAGGGAAAGUUUGAUUUCUGAGCCCAAUGCCAUUAUGGCCAAGGUACUAGUGUCCAGCCAGGUGGCAGGAGUUUGUCCCUUUCUCUAGUGUAGCCACAGGCAAGAGCUUCUCUCCUGAGCACUCAGACAUGGCACAUUCUGAAGGGUUGGACUAUUCAGGACCUCUCCGAAAAAGAACAGGUAAGAAACAAAAAAGGGGGGUGGGGGGGAGUGGCAGAGGGGGUGUAGUAAAGGAGACUCCCAAGUUGCACUGAAGCUCUUGGAUUCAUUUUGUCGCUAUCCCGGUACAGGCCACCAAAAACGAUGUGAAGUCAUUGAACACAACCAUCAAGAAAGAAUUCUUGAGAUGGGAGAAGUUAACAUCUGCAACCCAGAAGAGGGUCAUCACCAAAACUCGACCACACUGGUGCUCUGCUCUUGAACUUCUAGUCUCCAGAACCGUGAGAAUAAAUAUCGGUUAUCUACGAGCUGCCCAGUCUGCGGUACAAUUACAGCAGUGAGAAUGACUGAGGUGGCCCCCUUAACUCCUGCUGAGUGGCAAAGCCAGCUAAGACAGUCAUGAUCUGUUGCUCCUCUUUGCAAAGUGUAUCAACAGAGACCCUCAUGCCAAUUGACAAGCAUGUCCUCGGACAUGCCGGGGCCACCUGGGGCUACUGACUAGACAUGCAUCUUCUGCAGACACUUCUUUUCUCAUUAAUUCUCCUUUAGGGAAAAAAUGGAAGAGGCCAGGCCAUUAACCAGACAGGGCCAGUAAAAUGGAAUCAGAUGAGUACCCAUGCAGUGCCUUCUCCUUUGUGAAUCAGGAAAAUGGGCUUUUAUAAGUGCACCCCCAAUGAAAGCUGCUGUUGUUUUUCUCACUGACUUAGCAAUGCAUACAGGAAUGAAUGUAUAAACAAGAAUUUCUGCCAUUGGGGAAAACUGCCAAAAUAAACAUGGGCUUUGAUAUCAACGGUAA